UUCUUUCACUUUGGUAAUCUGCGCUUCUUUAUAUAUUGUUGACGCAGAUCCACUUGUGAUCAAUUAUUGGGGACGGGAGACUUGUGGCAGUCACAGACUUGUGUUAUUUAAUGAAGGAAUCGUUCGUGUGAUAGUGGACGGGUGGAUGUUUGUCUACUAGUGGCUAUGAAUGUGACUGACACCCAAGCUACAAUAUUUGUGUUGAUUGAGAGAGUGAUCGAGCCCCGCUAUGUUCCACUUUGCGGUCGGUCCCCCUGGACCCACAUCUGGUGUCGGCCUGUUUGUAUAACAGAGCCCGGAUUGCGCCGCGUACGCCUCGAAGGUCACGAUCAAGAAGGGGAACGCCGUCGCCCUUCUGGGCCGGGGGUAUGACGCGAUCUCUGAUCCUCUUCCUAGAUGGCGAUCGUUUUGGAGUCACGGGUCUGAUUUUGGUGCUUGGAUCAUCUGAUGGAUCACUUUCGGGUGGGUGGUUCAUCGGACUCGAUGAAAAGAAGCAUUAACUAUACAAGCAAGUCAGAGAUAGAUUCUGGGAGGUGGUACGACAUCAUUUUAGUUGGUUAAAAAAAGACGAGAAGGCAGCCUGAAUUAGUGGCGUAAAUAAAUGCACUAGAGCAGAAUAACAGUAAUGGGUACCCAAGUCCUAAAUUAACUGGAGAAACCGGAUGGUUGAGAUAGACUGGAAGGGAUUUCACCUAAUAAUGGAGCAGUCCAAAUCUCGAGUGCCUGAAGAUCGCAUGCCACCCUAAGGGAGUACAGAUAUGGUUAGUACAACUUGAGCUUGAAGCCGAAAUAAAAGGAAAUACUUAGAGAUUUGGAUGGUCCACUUGCUUCUGUCGGAGGAAGUUAUUCAUGUUCUAAGUAUUUCCAUAUUAGUCAAAUUUAGAAGACAGUUCAAUGAGUCAUCAGUGUUAAUCAGCACCAAGACAGAAAGUUUCCAGCACUCCAAUCGAAGAAACUUUUUCUUUGAUAAUUGUAGUCCAAUCAAAUAUGAUCUGCAACUUUAAAACUAACAAUGUAAUUUUCAUUUUAUAGAAACUUCUUCGUGAUUCCAAACCAAAAACAAAGCCAGAAUUAAAUGUAAUAUUUGUUGCCAGAAGAAAGUUUGUUGCCAUUUGUGCGGCC